rnacentral:rRNA from 1 species
UACGAAGGUGGCAAGCGUUACUCGGAAUUACUAGGCGUAAAGGGCAGGUAGGUGGUUCGAUAAGUCUGUUGUGAAAGCUCCCGGCUUAACUGGGAGAGGUCAACAGAAACUAUCGGACUUGAGUAUAGGAGAGGGUACUGGAAUUCCCGGUGUAGCGGUGAAAUGCGCAGAGAUCGGGAGGAACACCAAUGGCGAAAGCAGGUACCUGGACUAUUACUGACACUCAGCUGCGAAAGCUAGGGGAGCAAACAGG